GACGAACGCUGGCGGCGUGCUUAACACAUGCAAGUCGAACGGAAAGGCCCUGCUUUUGUGGGGUGCUCGAGUGGCGAACGGGUGAGUAACACGUGAGUAACCUGCCCUUGACUUUGGGAUAACUUCAGGAAACUGGGGCUAAUACCGGAUAGGAUCUCCUGCUGCAUGGUGGGGGUUGGAAAGUUUCGGCGGGUGGGGAUGGACUCGCGGCUUAUCAGCUUGUUGGUGGGGUAGUGGCUUACCAAGGCUUUGACGGGUAGCCGGCCUGAGAGGGUGACCGGCCACAUUGGGACUGAGAUACGGACCAGACUCCUAUGUGAGGCAGCAGUGGGGAAUAUUGCACAAUGGGCGGAAGCCUGAUGCAGAAACGCCGCGUGCGGGAUGACGGCCUUCGGGUUGUAAACCGCUUUCGCCUGUGACGAAGCGUGAGUGACGGUAAUGGGUAAAGAAGCACCGGCUAACUACGUG
rnacentral:rRNA from 1 species